GCCCUUGCAGCGCCGCGCGCGAGGUGGCCGAGGAGGCGGCGCCAGACGCGGCGAGCGUCCCUCGAGUGGCGGGCGCGGCUGGCACCUGCAGAGCGCGUCCCGGAGGAGGACGGCGGGCGCCCCAGCGCGCCGCCCGGCAGACUCAUGUUUGACUGCUGGAGUUUCAUCCUGUGCAAGAAAACUGACAAUUGUUCUUCGCGACAACACUGCAAUGAGGCCAAAAAGGAAGAAACUGAUCAUCAAAUUGAUGUAUCUGAUGUCAUCAGGCUUGUUCAAGAUAAACAAGAGGUGACAGUCACAACCACAGAAAGCUAGCAAGAGCUCCAGUUCUGUUAUUUUUGGAAAACAUGUUCGCUGCACAUGAAUUUACAAACAUUUGGAGGAAAGCUGGUAUGUUACUAAUUAAUACUGGAAGCACGGUUGGUAUUCUUCUGAUUUCAGCUGCCAAGUGGGUGAGAGAGCCCUUAAAGGGACAGGGCCGUGCUGGCGGUGGGCACAGGGGCUGUGACUGUACUACGUAAACCUUCAGCUCUCACAAGAAGAACAGGUUGGCAGUUGGAACCCACCCAGAUGCACCUCAGAAGAAAGGCCUGGUGAUCUGCUUACGAAAGGUCACAGCCACUGAAAA